rnacentral:lncRNA from 1 species
CUCUGAUGAGAGAUGCCGAAGGGCAGCGGCACUGUGGUACUCGCUUGUAUGAAUUACUUCUUAACAGGAACGACUCAUGUUCAUGAAAUGAAUUCAACAUUUCCCUGUAAGGACAAUAGAGCUUCAUUACACGGACUAUAGAAAAAUAUAUAUACUGUACAUAAGUGUUACAUUUGUAAAGAAAAUGUAAGCUGUAACUAAGAAGAUGAAUUGCUUCAACUGUGCUGCAAUGUUGGCUGACAACUCUGUCACAGUGAGGGAAUGAGGUUGACUAAUGCAUAUUAUGAAUUGAGUCCACAAAAGAAACAUGAGACUUUGUAAUUCUGUUAAAUCUUUUAUGUGGAUUUAUUUAUGAUCAGCCUACUAAUUAAAAAUAUUUUGCUUGACAGUUGGUUUGGUGGUUUGUUUGUUUGUAGAAGUUUUUUGGUUUUGGUGGUAUUGGUGAUAUUUUUUAAACAGUAGGAAUCUUAAAUUUGCCGCUUGGAGAAGAUGCAAUACCAAGUCUCAUUCAUUAGUGAAUGAAUACACUGUCAUUAGUUUGUGGAUACUUCAAGUAAUUACUGUUUGUAUUCUAAAAACAUGAUGUUAUUUUCAGAAUACAUUUAAUGACUAAGGAUAAUCUUAAAUCUCAUUUAAAUUAAGGAUUUUUUUCCUACCUAUUUGUAAUGAGAAUUUUUUUAAAAACAUGUGACUUUCCUUUUUAAUUGACUUGAUGAUUAUCAUAUUGAACUCUGAGAGAUUUUUGUUCUGAUCAGGAAUUCUGUCGUUCCCAGCAGGCUGUUUACUAUAAAGAUUGGUGAUGAUCC